rnacentral:rRNA from 1 species
CCUACGGGUGGCUGCAGUCGAGAAUCUUUCUCAAUGGGCGAAACCCUGAUCCCGCGACGCCGCGUGGGUGACUGCAGGUCUCCGGAUUGUAAACCCCUGUCAUGUGGGAGCAAAUUAAAAAGAUAGUACCACAAUAGGAAUACACGGCUAACUCUUGGCCAGCAGCCGCGGUAAUACAGAGGCCUCAAGCGUGGUUCGGAAUCACUGGGCGUAAAUCGUGCGUUAGCUGUUUCGUAAGUCGUGUGAGAAAGGUGCGGGCUCAACCGGCGGACGGCAGCUGAUACUGGGAGACUAGAGUAAUGGAGGGGGAAGCGGAAUGCGCGGUGUAGCGGUGAAAUGCGUAGAUAUCGAGAGGAACACUCGUGGCGAAGGCAGGUUACUGGACAUUAACUGACGCUGAGGCACGAAGGCCAGGGGAGCGAAAAGGAUUAGAUACCCUGGUAGUC